rnacentral:rRNA from 1 species
CCUACGGGUGGCAGCAGUGAGGAAUAUUGGUCAAUGGCCGUAAGGCUGAACCAGCCAAGUCGCGUGCAGGAAGAAGGAUCUAUGGUUUGUAAACUUCUUUUAUUGGGGAAUAAAGGUAUGCACGUGUGGAUCUUUGCAUGUGUCCUAUGAAUAAGCAUCGGCUAAGUCCGUGCCAGCAGCCGCGGUAAUACGGAGGAUGCGAGCGUUAUCCGGAUUUAUUGUGUUUAAAGGGUGCGUAGGUUGUUUUUUAAGUCAGCGGUGAAAGUUUGUGGCUCAACCAUAAAAUUGCCGUUGAAACUGGAAGACUUGAGUGUGUUUGAGGUAGGCGGAAUUCGUGGUGUAGCGGUGAAAUGCUUAGAUAUCACGAAGAACUCCGAUUGCGAAGGCAGCUUACUAAACUGCCACUGACAUUGAUGCUCGAAAGUGUGGGUAUCAAACAGGAUUAGAUACCCCUGUAGUC